GGCCUGACAAGGUGGUUCAUCCGCAAGGGUGACACUUCCUUUGUUGGGCUUUACAACCUUCUAGGGAACCAAUGUGCUCUUUACUGCAGUGCGUUGGGGAUCUAGGACUGUUACUUUGAAAAAAUUAGAGUGUUCAAAACAGGCAUUAUUGCUUGAAUACAUUAGCAUGGAAUAACGGAAUAGGACUUUGUUUCUAUUUUGUUGGUUUUUAGGAACAAAGUA
rnacentral:rRNA from 1 species